rnacentral:rRNA from 1 species
UACGUAGGGGGCUAGCGUUGUCCGGAAUCAUUGGGCGUAAAGCGCGUGUAGGCGGUUUGGUAAGUCUGCUGUGAAAGUCCAGGGCUCAACCCUGGAAAGCCGGUGGAUACUGUCAGACUAGAGUACGGAAGAGGCGAGUGGAAUUCCCGGUGUAGCGGUGAAAUGCGCAGAUAUCGGGAGGAACACCAAUUGCGAAGGCAGCUCGCUGGGACGUUACUGACGCUGAGACGCGAAAGCGUGGGGAGCGAACAGG